ensembl:lncRNA ERCC6L2-AS1 ERCC6L2 antisense RNA 1
CUUUCUGUGGGCGGAGCAAUCUUCCCGAUGUCUCUUCCCUCUGAGGCCAGUAGCAGGAAGGGCCUCGGGAGUUGCGAGUGUCGCGAGGUUUGAGGUCGCUCGGUGGGCCGGGCGCUGUGCGAAGCUAGAAAUAACUGGGGGCAUGGAGAAUGCGGUGGCUGUAAAGGGCCGCUGAGGCGGUGGAGGCCUGGCAGAGAGCGUCCCCGCGGUCGCGGCUUCUGGCUUCUCUGUGGAGCUUGGUUCUUCCGUGGUGGUGCAGCACCCCAGGAACUUCAGGAACCAGUCCUUCCUUGGAGAGCUCCCCGGGACAGCCACGGGGGCCAAGUGAAACUAGCGCGUUUUCUUGGAUCCUACACUUUAUAGUGAGUCAUAAAUACUUUAAAUACAAAGCCAACAACAUUUGCUGCAAAUAAACGUAAAAAUACUGUUAAAGUGUAAAGUGUUUUCCUCCGUACCAUCUGACGUUUCUGGCGGUUCGUUGAACGCGAGAGAACGCUGAGCCGUCUGCACUGAGCCCGGGAGCAUCUUCAGGGCAGCGCCGCCCACGCGCGAGGUGAAUGAAGGACACGGCCUCUUGACACUCCCAGGCAGCACAGAUAGACGGAUCCAUCCCAGUUUCUGACCUGUAGCAUAGUCCCUCUCUCUGAAGAACUUCCUGUAAUAUUUUUUGCUAGAUGGAGUCUUGCUCUGUCACCAGGCUGGAGGGCAGUGGCGCCAUCUCGGCUCACUGCAAACUCUGCCUCCCGGGUUCAAGCGAUUCUCCUCCCUCAGCCUCCUGAGUAGCUGGGACUACAGGCGUGUGCCACCAAGCCCAGCUAAUUUUUGUAUUUUAGUAGAGACAGGGUUUCACCAUGUUGGCCAGGAUGGUCUCGAUCUCUUGACCUCGUGAUCCACCCACCUCGGCCUCCCAAAGUGCUGGGAUUACAGGCAUGAGCCACCAUGCCCAACCCAAGAAUUUACAUUUCUAACAAGUUCCCAGGUAAUGCUUAUGCUGCUGGCCUAGAAACCACACUUGAAGAAACCACUCCUUCAGAAAAUAGUUCUUGUCUCCCAAGAGGAGAAGGAAUGCGAAAGAGGAUUUUAAAGAAAGCUUCCAAAUUGUGGCCAACUCUGAUAGAAGAUCAUAGACACUUGAAACUCAGUGCUGAAGAGGAUGCUGUAGUCAUGCCCAGGCUCAAUGGGAAAGAGCUCCAGGAUGAGGGGGGCUUGCAUACCAUGGGACGGGGGAGGAAUUGACAACAAAGAUCCACAUAUUUAUCAUCCACAAGGUUGGUUGGUCUUAAUCUUGUGCUUGUCGUAUCCAUUUUAUAAUACAAUCACAUUCGUACACUUGACUUUAAUUUACAUCACAGAGUUAUAUGUCUUUGAUGCAAGACUUCAGCAAAAUGGCCCAGCCAGGGUGUUAGGGUUUUCUGGCACUCUACCCAUGGAAGAGGAGAGGAUUGGAAUGAAGAGAGGAAGGCACAAGGGAGAAAGCUGACAUAUGGAAUCAAGUUGGAGAAAAUAGUGGGAAAUAGAAAAGUGUGUGCAAAGAUUUAUUGUGAAUUCCUAAGUACUCAAUUAAAAGCAGACCAAAACUUGAGAAUUGGGUUGAAGGCUAAGGACUGUGAGUGGGGAAAGGGUGGACAAUGCAUUUUCAGGGACCAGCCCCAUCACUGGCUCAGGGUUUCCUAGGCACGGCUCUUCUCAGGCAAGCUGUGCUGGAAGCCUGGAUUACAUCUGGAAUUCAAGAACUCUCCCUGUUUCAAAUACAGCCUAGAGAACACAGGUGGUCCACAGGCUGCAUUUUUGCCACCCACAACUUUGGGCCACAUUUAGAGGAGCCAGUGAAAGAAUCAAUCUGCUGAGUCAGAAGAAAAUUCAACAAGCUCUUAUCCAAAUAGGCACUCGUACGUGUUGCCAUAUUAAAGAUGCAAGUGGUCCCAUUAGUAAUAAACUCUUCAGACACAAAAGGCAUUUGUGUCACAAAUUCUGUACAAGUUAUAAAUAGAGGGAAAAGCAUCUGGGAAUGUGAAGUCAAGAGUCCUGUGUUUUGACUCUAGCUCAAGUGCAGACCAAAAACAUAGGCGUUCACCUCUCAGUUCAGUUUAACAAUAUUUCUCAAGGAUCUAUCUGUGAGGCACUUGGAUGCAUGGUCUAUAAAUAAGACCAAGUCCCUUUCUUGAAAGUGCUUAAAAUCUAAUGAAGGGGAGGGAGAUAAAUACACAAAUCAAUGGAUUCAAGACAGGGUAUUGAAGAUGUUAUGAGAGUAAUACAAGUAAAACAUUGACCAAGUUAAAAAGGACAAAACAAAACAGCAAGUAAGGUGUUAACUCCUCCAUAUUCCAUUAGAAUACUCUUAGCAUGCCCAGUUCCUGACACAAAAGUAGGCAUUUGAUAAAUGGCUCUUUGAGUAAAUUAAAUGAGCAUUAUCUCUUCCCAGACCUAAACAGCCCACCAAUGACCUAGUUUACAAUUUAUGCACUGUUAAUUUGCCUAAUUAGACCCAGUAUCUACUUCUGUGCCACAAAAUCAUAUGAUUAGAGCAUUAACAGUCAUGAAACGCUUUAUAGACCUGGACUUCUCCAAUCGAGGACAUUACAAUCUACUAAAUAAAGAAUAACUUGAAGAGGGAUUUAAAUAGAGGAGGGUAUUGAGAAAGCCAUAAAUUUAGUAAAAGAGAAGUUAAAAUCGGCACGUGGGGUUCAUAGCAUUAAAGGACAUGAUUUACCUCUGAAACUCAUGUUUGUUUCUACCAGAUGAGCAGGAAGAGAUUCCAAAGAGGAAAAGAUGAUUAGAAGUAGGAAUAACUAGCUUGGGCAAAGUGGCAAGACCUCCAUCUCUUU